GACGAACGCUGGCGGCGUGCUUAACACAUGCAAGUCGAACGAAGAGCGAUGGAAGCUUGCUUCUAUCAAUCUUAGUGGCGAACGGGUGAGUAACGCGUAAUCAACCUGCCCUUCAGAGGGGGACAACAGUUGGAAACGACUGCUAAUACCGCAUACGAUCCAAUCUCGGCAUCGAGGAUGGAUGAAAGGUGGCCUCUAUUUAUAAGCUAUCACUGAAGGAGGGGAUUGCGUCUGAUUAGCUAGUUGGAGGGGUAACGGCCCACCAAGGCGAUGAUCAGUAGCCGGUCUGAGAGGAUGAACGGCCACAUUGGGACUGAGACACGGCCCAGACUCCUACGGGAGGCAGCAGUGGGGAAUCUUCCGCAAUGGACGAAAGUCUGACGGAGCAACGCCGCGUGAGUGAUGACGGCCUUCGGGUUGUAAAGCUCUGUUAAUCGGGACGAAAGGCCUUCUUGCGAAUAGUUAGAAGGAUUGACGGUACCGGAAUAGAAAGCCACGG
rnacentral:rRNA from 1 species